UUGCGUAUAUUCGCCCCCCACCCAAAAGCUCUUCUGUAGUGAACUUGCGGAAGGAUCAUU
rnacentral:rRNA from 1 species